rnacentral:rRNA from 1 species
AUUGAACGCUGGCGGCAUGCCUUACACAUGCAAGUCGAACGGUAACAGGUCUUCGGAUGCUGACGAGUGGCGAACGGGUGAGUAAUACAUCGGAACGUGCCUAGUAGUGGGGGAUAACUACUCGAAAGAGUGGCUAAUACCGCAUGAGAUCUACGGAUGAAAGCAGGGGAUCGCAAGACCUUGUGCUACUAGAGCGGCCGAUGGCAGAUUAGGCAGUUGGUGGGAUAAAAGCUUACCAAGCCGACGAUCUGUAGCUGGUCUGAGAGGACGAUCAGCCACACUGGGACUGAGACACGGCCCAGACUCCUACGGGAGGCAGCAGUGGGGAAUUUUGGACAAUGGGCGAAAGCCUGAUCCAGCAAUGCCGCGUGCAGGAAGAAGGCCUUCGGGUUGUAAACUGCUUUUGUCAGGGAAGAAAUCUUCUGGGCUAAUACCCCGGGAGGAUGACGGUACCUGAAGAAUAAGCACCGGCUAACUACGUGCCAGCCGCCGCCGUAA